GGUCUUCCUCUGUAGAAAGAGAGAGAGACAGCAGGGGGAAACAAAGUGUAGAUCUGGCAUAUUUUCACGUCAAACUCUAUGAAAUAACAGUUUAUUUUGACCAAACCAGAGUUGGUGAUUGUUGGAAAGACUAACGACGACGGUUUUGGU